CUUUAUGGAGUCUAAGCCCUUAAUUAAUAGUAAAUAGCGGUCAAACAAUAUAUUCUCUUGGAAAAAUAAAUAAUUUGAGAAUGGACUUGUUGAAUGAUGCCCUAGAAUGACACUGAAAGACUAUUCUGCACUGUUUUGCAUUUACUUCCAAAUGCAGAUAAUUUUUCUUAGUGUGACCUUGUGCUUGGGAAGCAACAAUGAAUAAAGCAAGCAAGUUCUUUGCCUUCCUGGAGGGAACCCCCACAAUGCCAAGGGGUGGUUAUGGAUGAUGUGCUUCAAAACAUAAAGACCCUGGACAUUGUCAAUAACUGUCCAACAACUUCUCACAGCAAGAUGGAAAAAUUAAAAAGCGGUGACUUUUCUUGGACCUGUCAGGGAACUCAAGUCAUUGGGCAAAUCAUCACCCUGGAAUCCAAAGCUAUUUGCUUCUAGGGAGGUACAGAAACCAAGAUCUACUUCCAUGGAGCAAACGCCACAAGAGACAUCAACUUGUAGGAACAGUGAAAUGGUAAUGUUGACCAAUUGCUGGGGCCUAUUGUGGACUAUAAUGAAGGUGUGACACUCCUAGAUGUCACAGUCUUAGAGACAGUCCCUCACUUUCAUGGGUUUUUCUCUCCAGAACCCCCAAGAGGUGCUCCCAGUGAGAAUCCAAAAAAAGGAUCCCAUGUGACUCUGGCCAGGGCACGGGAACUCUCCAGACAGAAGGAAUUUGCAAGAUCUCAAAUCUUUUUUUUUAAGAUGUUAUUUAUUUAUUCAUGAGAGAUACACAGAGAGAGGCAGAGAUAUAGGCAGAAGGAGAAGCAGGCUCUGCUUGGAGCCCAAUGCAGGACUCAAUCCCAGGACCCCAGGAUCACAACCUGAGCCGAAGGCAGGCACUCAACCACUGAGCCACCCAGGAAUCUCUGCAAGAUCUCAAUUCUAAAAGCCCAUCUCCAUUGGGAGAAGAGAAUUCCUUCCAACACCAGUUCCCUCCAACCUUCCUGUCUCAUUUAAGAUGAAACACACACACACACACACACAUACACACACGCAGAAUCAAUAAGAGUCAGGACUUCAAGAAAAUAGAUUAGAAAUUCUGUAGUCAGGGAGGAAAAUAGGGUGGCACAGGGUCGAUAAAGAACCACUUAUGAAGGUCACAGGCCAGAGACCCAGGACCUCAAAAAGACUAAGGUUUUAUUAAGAGGUUAUAAGAUGCUCUUUUCCCCCACACUUCACCACCACACCAACGGGGCCAAGUAUAAUAACAGAAGAUCUACCUGUAAGAGCUACCAGAUGCACUCUCUGAGGAAGAGUACUUAAGUAAGCCUAACAUGAAGAUAGGAGGCAAAAACAAGAUACCAAAGGAAUUUGAUGCCUCUGGUACCUAUAGCUAUAGUAAAGAUUAACACAACCCAACAUCUGAUCAGAUUAAUAUAAAUCUUCACACUAAAGCUCUAUUUAUUUCAGUCCUUUUACCCAAUAAAACAUACUUGAAUUUCA
rnacentral:lncRNA from 12 species